rnacentral:rRNA from 1 species
GUGAGGAAUAUUGGUCAAUGGGCGAAAGCCUGAACCAGCCAUGUCGCGUGAGGGAUGAAGGUCCUAUGGAUUGUAAACUUCUUUUGCAGGAGGGUAAAGUGAGCUACGUGUAGUUCAUUGCAAGUACCCUGCGAAUAAGCAUCGGCUAACUCCGUGCCAGCAGCCGCGGUAAUACGGAGGAUGCGAGCGUUAUCCGGAUUUAUUGGGUUUAAAGGGUGCGUAGGCGGACUAAUUAGUCAGCGGUGAAAUUUUGCGGCUCAACCGUAAAACUGCCGUUGAAACUGUUAGUCUUGAGUGCGGUAGAGGUAGGCGGAAUGUGUGGUGUAGCGGUGAAAUGCUUAGAUAUCACACAGAACACCGAUUGCGUAGGCAGCUUACUGGAGCGCAACUGACGCUGAGGCACGAAAGCGUGGGGAUCGAACAGGAUUAGAAACCCUAGUAGUCC